UACGUAGGGGGCAAGCGUUGUCCGGAUUCAUUGGGCGUAAAGAGCUCGUAGGCGGCUUGGCAAGUCGGGUGUGAAACCUCCAGCUCAACCUGGAGACGCCACCCGAUACUGCCAUGGCUAGAGUCCGGUAGGGGACCACGGAAUUCCUGGUGUAGCGGUGAAAUGCGCAGAUAUCAGGAGGAACACCGGUGGCGAAGGCGGUGGUCUGGGCCGGAACUGACGCUGAGGAGCGAAAGCGUGGGGAGCGAACGGAU
rnacentral:rRNA from 1 species